UACGAAGGGGGCUAGCGUUGCUCGGAAUUACUGGGCGUAAAGCGCACGUAGGCGGCGAUUCAAGUUAGAUGUGAAAGGCCUGGGCUCAACCCGGGAACUGCAUUUGAUACUGAAUUGCUAGAGUCCAAGAGAGGGUAGUGGAAUUCCCAGUGUAGAGGUGAAAUUCGUAGAUAUUGGGAAGAACACCAGUGGCGAAGGCGGCUACCUGGCUUGGUACUGGACGCUCAGGUGCGAAAGCGUGGGGAGCGAACAGG
rnacentral:rRNA from 1 species